rnacentral:lncRNA from 1 species
GUUCAUAUUGAUACUGCAUUGUUGAUUUAGUAAUAGAAGACAUUAUCAGUUCCCCGCAACAGAAGGUUAUGAAGCUUCAAAAAGGUCGAGUGUUUGUCUUAGCAAUCUCAUGAUGACUCACCAGUUGAUAUGUCCAUGGAAAUCAGCUUAGUAACAAGCACUACAAGAUAUACGAUUAUUCCCAACAGUCAGUUUUAAUGAGUGGCUAACAGUUCUGAUGCUUCCUACUAUUUUUUCCUCGAAUGUCCGACAGUUUUUCUAGUGUAAUUUGCCUCUUUCCCAACAGUUUUAUCAUAUCACCCAUAAUGUAAUCCCCCACGGACUCAUUUCCCACAGUUAUGGUAGGUAGUUAUUCAAAUGUACUAGAAACAGUUGGCCAUUUGUAAAGGUACGUAGGCAAUUUGCGAUUAUACUUUGGAUAUCUAGCACAACAGCAC